UGGGGGAUAUUGCACAAUGGGGGGAACCCGUGAUGCAGCGACGCCGCGUGGGUGAAGAAGCGCCUCGGCGCGUAAAGCCCUGUCAGCAGGGAAGAAAAUGACGGUACCUGAAGAAGAAGCCCCGGCUAACUACGUGCCAGCAGCCCGCGGUAAUCUCGAUCU
rnacentral:rRNA from 1 species